UAAAUUCAAACUACUGAGGAACAAUCGACGGCUUGAACAAUUACUACAAACUUGGAAAAUAAACCACAAAACAGAAGCCAAGCCGAAAGUUCACAGAUGAAUGACGAACUGAGUACACAGACACAUGGAGAAAUAAUAUUUAACGAUUCAAUAGGAAUACUGG